rnacentral:antisense_RNA from 1 species
GAACCUCAAGUGUGUCAGCUGUGAAGCAUGUACUGUAUUCUUCUGGUGGAAAUUAGCAUGGCCACUACAUCACAAAUGGAUAUUAUCGCAAAAGUUAAUUGGAUUACUAGUUCUGUUUAAAGAUAAAGAAUCAGACAUGUGCAA